rnacentral:rRNA from 1 species
CAGCAGCCGCGGGAAUACGGAGGGAGCUAGCGUUGUUCGGAAUUACUGGGCGUAAAGCGCGCGUAGGCGGUUACUCAAGUCAGAGGUGAAAGCCCGGGGCUCAACCCCGGAACUGCCUUUGAAACUAGGUGACUAGAAUCUUGGAGAGGUCAGUGGAAUUCCGAGUGUAGAGGUGAAAUUCGUAGAUAUUCGCAGGAACACCAGUGGCGAAGGCGGCUAACUGGUCCAUAACUGACGCUGAGGUGCGAAAGCGUGGGGAGCAAACAGGAUUAGAGACCCCCGUAGUCCCUGUCUCUUAUAC